rnacentral:rRNA from 1 species
AAUUACCCAAUCCUGACACAGGGAGGUAGUGACAAGAAAUAACAAUACAGGGCUUAAAGUCUUGUAAUUGGAAUGAUGGGAAUCUAAACCCUUCCCAGAGUAUCAAUUGGAGGGCAAGUCUGGUGCCAGCAGCCGCGGUAAUUCCAGCUCCAAUAGCGCAUAUUAAAGUUGUUGCAGUUAAGAAGCUCGUAGUUGAAUUUCUGCCUUGUCGUUAAAUUCGCUUCCGAGCGUUUUUUUAUUGACUUGGCAUCUUCUGGAUUUGGUUCCCUUCGGGGUUCUAUUUUCCGGGAUUUACUUUGAGAAAACUAGAGUGUUUCAAACAGGCAUUUGCCUUGAAUACUACAGCAUGGAAUAAUGAAGUAGGACUUUGGUUCUAUUUUGUUGGUUAUUGAGCCAGAGUAAUGGUUAAUAGGAGCAGUUGGGGGCAUUCGUAUUUAA